rnacentral:rRNA from 1 species
GACGUAGGGGGCGAGCGUUGUCCGGAUUUAUUGGGCGUAAAGAGCGCGUAGGCGGCCCGUUAAGUCGGAUGUGAAAACCCGUGGCUCAACCACGGGCCUGCAUCCGAUACUGGCGGGCUCGAGGCAGGCAGGGGAGAUCGGAAUUCCUGGUGUAGCGGUGAAAUGCGCAGAUAUCAGGAGGAACACCGGUGGCGAAGGCGGAUCUCUGGGCCUGUCCUGACGCUCAGGCGCGAAAGCUAGGGAGCAAACAGG